GCCCGUCUAGCUCAGUAGGUAGAGCGCAAGGCUCUUAACCUUGUGGUCGUGGGUUGUUCGAGCCCCACGGUGGGCG